rnacentral:rRNA from 1 species
UAGGGAAUCUUCCGCAAUGGACGAAAGUCUGACGGAGCAACGCCGCGUGAGCGAAGAAGGUCUUCGGAUCGUAAAGCUCUGUUGUCAGGGAAGAACAAGUACCGUUCGAACAGGGCGGUACCUUGACGGUACCUGACGAGGAAGCCACGGCUAACUACGUGCCAGCAGCCGCGGUAAUACGUAGGUGGCAAGCGUUGUCCGGAAUUAUUGGGCGUAAAGCGCGCGCAGGCGGUUCCUUAAGUCUGAUGUGAAAUCUCGCGGCUCAACCGCGAGCGGCCAUUGGAAACUGGGGAACUUGAGUGCAGGAGAGGGGAGCGGAAUUCCACGUGUAACGGUGAAAUGCGUAGAGAUGUGGAGGAACACCAGUGGCGAAGGCGGCUCUCUGGUCUGUAACUGACGCUGAGGCGCGAAAGCGUGGGGAGCAAACAGG